GAUGAACGCUGGCGGCGUGCUUAAUACAUGCAAGUCGAACGGAGGAUGUAGCGAUACAUCCUCAGUGGCGAACGGGUGAGUAACGCGUUGGUGACCUGCCCCGAAGAGAGGGAUAACAGUUCGAAAGGACUGCUAAUACCGCAUGAGGUCGUUGAGGCUAGAGGCUCGAUGACGAAAGGAGAAAUCCGCUUUGGGAGGGGCCUGCGUCCCAUCAGCUAGUUGGUAAGGUAAGGCCUACCAAGGCGUAGACGGGUAGGGGACCUGAGAGGGUGGCCCCCCACAAUGGAACUGAAACACGGUCCAUACACCUACGGGUGCAG
rnacentral:rRNA from 1 species